AACGAACGCUGGCGGCAGGCUUAACACAUGCAAGUCGAACGCCCCGCAAGGGGAGUGGCAGACGGGUGAGUAACGCGUGGGAAUCUACCGUGCCCUGCGGAAUAGCUCCGGGAAACUGGAAUUAAUACCGCAUACGCCCUACGGGGGAAAGAUUUAUCGGGGUAUGAUGAGCCCGCGUUGGAUUAGCUAGUUGGUGGGGUAAAGGCCUACCAAGGCGACGAUCCAUAGCUGGUCUGAGAGGAUGAUCAGCCACAUUGGGACUGAGACACGGCCCAAGCUCCUACGGGAGGCAGCAGUGGGGAAUAUUGGACAAUGGGCGCAAGCCUGAUCCAGCCAUGCCGCGUGAGUGAUGAAGGCCUUAGGGUUGUAAAGCUCUUUCACCGAUGAAGAUAAUGACGGUAGUCGGAGAAGAAGCCCCGGCUAACUUCGUGCCAGCAGCCGCCGUAA
rnacentral:rRNA from 1 species